AGAGUUUGAUCCUGGCUCAGGACGAACGCUGGCGGCGUGCUUAACACAUGCAAGUCGAACGGAGUUUAUAGGCGGAAGCCUUCGGGUGGAAGGCUGUAAACUGAGUGGCGGACGGGUGAGUAACGCGUGAGCAAUUUGCCCUUUGGAGGGGAAUAACAGCCGGAAACGGUUGCUAAUACCGCAUAAGACACGUUGGAGGCAUCUCCGGGGUGUGAAAGGAGAAAUCCGCCAAAGGAUGAGCUCGCGUCCCAUUAGGUAGUUGGUGAGGUAACGGCUCACCAAGCCGACGAUGGGUAGCCGGACUGAGAGGUUGGCCGGCCACACUGGAACUGAGACACGGUCCAGACUCCUACGGGAGGCAGCAGUGGGGAAUAUUGGGCAAUGGGGGAAACCCUGACCCAGCAACGCCGCGUGAGGGAAGAAGGUUUUCGGAUUGUAAACCUCUGUCCUAUGGGAAGAAGAAAGUGACGGUACCAUAGGAGGAAGCCCCGGCUAACUACGUGCCAGCAGCCGCGGUAAUACGUAGGGGGCGAGCGUUGUCCGGAAUUACUGGGCGUAAAGGGUGCGUAGGCGGCCCUGCAGGUCGGAUGUGAAAUACCCGUGCUUAACAUGGGGGCUGCAUUUGAAACCGUAGGGCUUGAGUGCGGAAGAGGUAAGUGGAAUUCCCGGUGUAGCGGUGAAAUGCGUAGAGAUCGGGAGGAACACCAGUGGCGAAGGCGACUUACUGGGCCGCAACUGACGCUGAGGCACGAAAGCGUGGGGAGCAAACAGGAUUAGAUACCCUGGUAGUCCACGCCGUAAACGAUGGAUACUAGGUGUAGAGGGUAACACCCCCUCUGUGCCGAAGCAAACGCAUUAAGUAUCCCGCCUGGGGAGUACGAUCGCAAGAUUGAAACUCAAAGGAAUUGACGGGGGCCCGCACAAGCAGCGGAGCAUGUGUUUAAUUCGAAGCAACGCGAAGAACCUUACCAAGGCUUGACAUCCCUUGAAUGCCAUAGAAAUAUGGAGUUCCUUCGGGACAAGGAGACAGGUGGUGCAUGGUUGUCGUCAGCUCGUGUCGUGAGAUGUUGGGUUAAGUCCCGCAACGAGCGCAACCCCUACGAUCAGUUACCAGCGGAUAAAGCCGGGGACUCUGGUCGGACUGCCGUGGACAACACGGAGGAAGGUGGGGACGACGUCAAAUCAUCAUGCCCCUUAUGUCUUGGGCUACACACGUGCUACAAUGGCUACUACAAAGGGAAGCGAGAGGGUAACCUGGAGCGGAACCCAAAAAAGUAGUCCCAGUUCGGAUUGUGGGCUGCAACCCGCCCACAUGAAGUUGAGUUGCUAGUAAUCGCGGAUCAGCAUGCCGCGGUGAAUGCGUUCCCGGGCCUUGUACACACCGCCCGUCACACCAUGGGAGUUGGGAGCACCCGAAGUCAGUGACUCAACCGCAAGGAGAGAGCUGCCGAAGGUGAGACCAAUAACUGGGGUGAAGUCGUAACAAGGUA
rnacentral:rRNA from 1 species